rnacentral:rRNA from 1 species
GAUGAACGCUGGCGGCGUGCCUAAUACAUGCAAGUCGAGCGAAUGGAUUAAGAGCUUGCUCUUAUGAAGUUAGCGGCGGACGGGUGAGUAACACGUGGGUAACCUGCCCAUAAGACUGGGAUAACUCCGGGAAACCGGGGCUAAUACCGGAUAACAUUUUGAACCGCAUGGUUCAAAAUUGAAAGGCGGCUUCGGCUGUCACUUAUGGAUGGACCCGCGUCGCAUUAGCUAGUUGGUGAGGUAACGGCUCACAAAGGCAACGAUGCGUAGCCGACCUGAGAGGGUGAUCGGCCACGCUGGGACUGAAACACGGCCCAGACUCCUACGGGAGGCAGCAGUAGGGAAUCUUCCGCAAUGGACGAAAGUCUGACGGAGCAACGCCGCGUGAGUGAUGAAGGCUUUCGGGUCGUAAAACUCUGUUGUUAGGGAAGAACAAGUGCUAGUUGAAUAAGCUGGCACCUUGACGGUACCUAACCAGAAAGCCACGGCUAACUACGUGCCAGCAGCCGCAGUAA